rnacentral:rRNA from 1 species
UCUUUAGAAGACAUUUGAAAGAGAUUAAAGAUUUAUCGGUGAUGGGAUGGGGAUGCGUCUGAUUAGCUUGUUGGCGGGGUAACGGCCCACCAAGGCAACGAUCAGUAGGGGUUCUGAGAGGAAGGUCCCCCACAUUGGAACUGAGACACGGUCCAAACUCCUGCGGGAGGCAGCAGUGAGGAAUAUUGGUCAAUGGACGAGAGUCUGAACCAGCCAAGUAGCGUGCAGGAAGACGGCCCUAUGGGUUGUAAACUGCUUUUAUAAGGGAAUAAAGUGAGUCUCGUGAGACUUUUUGCAUGUACCUUAUGAAUAAGGACCGGCUAAUUCCGUGCCAGCAGCCGCGGUAAUACGGAAGGUCCGGGCGUUAUCCGGAUUUAUUGGGUUUAAAGGGAGCGUAGGCCGGAGAUUAAGCGUGUUGUGAAAUGUAGAUGCUCAACAUCUGAACUGCAGCGCGAACUGGUUUCCUUGAGUACGCACAAAGUGGGCGGAAUUCGUGGUGUAGCGGUGAAAUGCUUAGAUAUCACGAAGAACUCCGAUUGCGAAGGCAGCUCACUGGAGCGCAACUGACGCUGAAGCUCGAAAGUGCGGGUAUCGAACAGGAUUAGAUACCCUGGUAGUCCGCACGGUAAACGAUGGAUGCCCGCUGUUGGUCUGAAUAGGUCAGCGGCCAAGCGAAAGCAUUAAGCAUCCCACCUGGGGAGUACGCCGGCAACGGUGAAACUCAAAGGAAUUGACGGGGGCCCGCACAAGCGGAGGAACAUGUGGUUUAAUUCGAUGAUACGCGAGGAACCUUACCCGGGCUUGAAUUGCAGAGGAAGGAUUUGGAGACAAUGACGCCCUUCGGGGCCUCUGUGAAGGUGCUGCAUGGUUGUCGUCAGCUCGUGCCGUGAGGUGUCGGCUUAAGUGCCAUAACGAGCGCAACCCCUCUCCUUAGUUGCCAUCAGGUCAUGCUGGGCACUCUGGGGACACUGCCACCGUAAGGUGUGAGGAAGGUGGGGAUGACGUCAAAUCAGCACGGCCCUUACGUCCGGGGCUACACACGUGUUACAAUGGCAGGUACAGAGAGACGGUCCCUUGCAAAAUGGAUCAAAUCCUUAAAGCCUGUCUCAGUUCGGACUGGGGUCUGCAACCCGACCCCACGAAGCUGGAUUCGCUAGUAAUCGCGCAUCAGCCAUGGCGCGGUGAAUACGUUCCCGGGCCUUGCACA